GCUUAGAUCUUGUCAACCCUCUGUGAGAGUUCUCCAUGCAUAUGAAAUAGAAAUCGUCGGUGCUUAAAGACUGCAUUGCCAUCAUUGACAACUUGGGUAUCUGAUCCUUGGUCUUUAUGCACCCAAUUCUAAUGGGCCAUAGUUCUUUGCCUUUGCUCUGCAGAAAAUCAAUUCCUUCUUUAUUACUCACAUCUGCAGGUGAAGGCACACAUCCUAACUCAAUCCAUGAAUUUAGGAUGAUUUCAAGCCUAUCCUUAGUUAAUGUUUGUAGAUGGACAUGCUUAAGCCCUUGAUAUAUUCCAAAAAGGUCUAUAGCUGAGAAAAUAGGGUAAACAACAAAAGGCAAUCCUGCAAGCAAUCUUUGAUUGUUCUUGAACAGCAUAUUCAAAAGUGCAGCAAUC
rnacentral:misc_RNA from 1 species